UAAUUCUAAAAACAUUUUAUAACAAAAUUACGUGUUAUGAUAAAAUUUGGAAGUGUGCCUUAAUUGGAUUGUUUAAGGUUACAACCUUAUAGAAACCGCACCCGUAUGUAUAUCGAGAUAACUAAAGGUCCCAUGAGUAAUUUGCCCACAUAUUUAAAGAGCAUAUUUGUCUUUGGAUCAAAUAUGAGCCUUUCCCUUGUAAUGCAUCUUGGGUCAAACUUGAGAUAUUCUACAUCUCAAAAUGAGCUCAUUGCCUCGGUUGUCCUAUCCAAAAGUUUUACAAUACAAUAUAUAAAGGGUGCGGUUAGCAUAGAAAAGUCAUAAACAGUAUAAUAUAAAUAUAAAUAUAAUAUUAUUUGUCUGUGGCUACGUCAGUCUGAAAAAUAAACAUUAAAUAUAUUUAUUCUGUCAUCUUAUAUUUUCAUAGUAUGAAUCCAAGUAAGUCUGUUUACAUACUCACCCUUGCUACUUAGAAUCAUACAUUUAUUCACAUCAAUAAUUCUUCUCACUAGCUCAACCAACAUUCACCUCCUAGUCCUUGCAUGACACCUCAUUUUAUAGAAUUACAAAAAUCCAAAUGAUAUUAUGCUCCCCUGGGAUUGUACUUCCCAUUUACUCCCUCAAGUAAAACCCUGCUUAGGUUUAAUUUUAGGACCUUAAAUUGUGGGACUCAUAGAUUAACCUCAAUAAGAUGAAUUUCUUAAUAAAUUGUUUUUCUUUAGAGAAUAGUCAUCUAAUGAUUCUUAAGUGGUUCCCACAUUUUCAAAUUGAAAACAUCCUCCCAAGACCCAAAUAGGUCUUCUGAGGGAGUGAAGGAGUAAAUGUAAACCAUGCUCCCGAGGAAUGGUAGUAUAAAUGCCCUUACGAAAAUAGCCAUUGAACGGUUGAUUUUAUUUUUGACUCUUAAGGGUUGAGGUCCAUGAGUGGUAAACAUUAAUGCGAACUCCAAAAUAGCGUCCACUAAAGCCCUCAAUAAUGGAAGAAGCAUUUUAAACGAUGAGUAUUAUUGUAAAGGGCAAUAGUGAAAGAUGCAUUCAUUCAAUGCAUCUUGAUCUACAUCUAGGCCGCGGAAUAUUUUAGAGCGCGUCACAUUCAUUGGUUUCCUUUCAAGGGAAAGGUAGUCUAUAAAAGUCGCAUAAAAGAAAAUGGUUGAAAGUAAUUUGCUCGUAAGGGUGGCAACAAGCCG
rnacentral:lncRNA from 1 species